rnacentral:rRNA from 1 species
AUUGAACGCUGGCGGCAGGCCUAACACAUGCAAGUCGAACGAGUGGCGGACGGGUGAGUACUGUCUGGGAAACUGCCUGAUGGAGGGGGAUAACUACUGGAAACGGUAGCUAAUACCGCAUACCCUCGGAUGUGCCCAGAUGGGAUUAGCGAGUAGGUGGGGUAACGGCUCACCUAGGCGACGAUCCCUAGCUGGUCUGAGAGGAUGACAAGCCACACUGGAGAUGAGACACGGUCCAGACUCCGAGGGGAGGCAGCAGGGGGGAAUAUUGAACAAUGGGCGCAAGCCUGAGGCAGCCAUGCCGGGUGUAUGAAGAAGGCCUUCGGGUUGGAAAGUACUUUAAGCGGGGAGGCGUUACCCGCAGAAGAAGCACCGGCUAACUCCGUGCAAGCAGCCGGGGUAAUU